GAGAAGACCGGGCGGGGGGGCGGGGUAUGAGGGGGGGGGCGAGCGUGGUGCGGAGACGCUGAGCGGAGAGAGGGGGUAGGCGGCCAGCUAAGUCGGAUGUGAAAGUCCGGGGCUCACCGUCGGAAGUGCAGUGGAAGCUGGCGGAGGCGAGUGCCGGAAAGGAGGGGGGAAUUCCUGGUGUAGCGGUGAAAUGCGUAGAUAUCAGGAGGAACACCGGGGGCGAAGGCGGCCCUCUGGACGGUGACUGACGCUGAGACGCGAAAGCGUGGGGAGCAAACAGGAUUAGAUACCCGAGUAGUC
rnacentral:rRNA from 1 species